GCACGCGCGGCGGCCAUUCAACCAAGAUGGCUGCUUGUGUUCAGAUCAUAUUUUGUUUAAUAUUAGAUAGAUAAUAUUGUUUAAUUUUGCUGCAUAUCGGAUGAGAUAUAGUAUAAAUUUGAUCAUAUUUCGAUAAUGUUUUGAAUAACUCAAUUAUAUUCAUUAGAUCAUUACAUAACUGAAAAAACAACCAUCAUUCUAAUAAAAUAGACGAGGUAUGCCUUGCGAAGGAAAAUAUUGCAGAAAGGAGCGUCAAUCAGUUUAAAUAAACUUUCAUUAAUAAAA